rnacentral:rRNA from 1 species
AGUGAAUGCUGGCGGUAGGCCUAACACAUGCAAGUCGAACGGCAGCACGGUAAGAGCUUGCUCUUACGGGUGGCGAGUGGCGGACGGGUGAGGAAUACAUCGGAAUCUACUUUUUCGUGGGGGAUAACGUAGGGAAACUUACGCUAAUACCGCAUACGACCUACGGGUGAAAGCAGGGGAUCUUCGGACCUUGCGCGAUUGAAUGAGCCGAUGUCGGAUUAGCUAGUUGGCGGGGUAAAGGCCCACCAAGGCGACGAUCCGUAGCUGGUCUGAGAGGAUGAUCAGCCACACUGGAACUGAGACACGGUCCAGACUCCUACGGGAGGCAGCAGUGGGGAAUAUUGGACAAUGGGCGCAAGCCUGAUCCAGCCAUACCGCGUGGGUGAAGAAGGCCUUCGGGUUGUAAAGCCCUUUUGUUGGGAAAGAAAAGCAGCAGGUUAAUACCCCGCUGUUCUGACGGUACCCAAAGAAUAAGCACCGGCUAACUUCGUG